CUCCAGAUGUUGCUGAACUACAACUCCCAUCAUCAAUGGUUUAUGGUCCAAGUUUUUUUUAUGGCUGAUGGGAGUUGUACUUCAGCAGUAUCUGGAG